rnacentral:rRNA from 1 species
GAUGAACGCUGGCGGCGUGCCUAAUACAUGCAAGUCGAGCGAACGGACGAGAAGCUUGCUUCUCUGAUGUUAGCGGCGGACGGGUGAUUAACACGUGGAUAACCUACCUAUAAGACUGGGAUAACUUCGGGAAACCGGAGCUAAUACCGGAUAAUAUUUUGAACCGCAUGGUUCAAAAGUGAAAGACGGUCUUGCUGUCACUUAUAGAUGGAUCCGCGCUGCAUUAGCUAGUUGGUAAGGUAACGGCUUACCAAGGCAACGAUGCAUAGCCGACCUGAGAGGGUGAUCGGCCACACUGGAACUGAGACACGGUCCAGACUCCUACGGGAGGCAGCAGUAGGGAAUCUUCCGCCAUGGGCGAAAGCCUGACGGAGCAACGCCGCGUGAGUGAUGAAGGUCUUCGGAUCGUAAAACUCUGUUAUUAGGGAAGAACAUAUGUGUAAGUAACUGUGCACAUCUUGACGGUACCUAAUCAGAAAGCCACGGCUAACUACGUG